CAGAGUUGCAAAACUCCCACAAACCAUCGCGAAUCUUACCCGUACGGUUGCCUCGGCGCUGGCGGUCCGGAAGGCCCUCGGGCCCCCGGAUCCUCGGGUCUCCCGCUCGCGGGAGGCUGCCCGCCGGAGUGCCGAAACUAAACUCUUGAUACCUUAUGUCUCUCUGAGUACACUUUUAAAUAAGUCA
rnacentral:misc_RNA from 1 species